CUCAUCACUAAACAAAUAUCUGCUUCCUUUUUACGUCCUGUGGAAUAGGUCGGAGUUUAACCAGCGGUGCUAGCUUGUGAUUGGUCGAUUACUAAUGUUAUGAAAUAUUAUUGGCUGGUCAAACAUACGCCUUUACAGCAACGCCACUGAGAAGGCCCGUCAUGCUGACCGCACAGAGGACAUGUGUCACUCUGGCUGCACGCCGACUUCUAGGAGCUCCCUGCUCCUCACACGGAUUCAGCAACACACGCUCACAGACGCACUCCCGACAGUUUCGUACCGCAACGCCCUGUCAGGAUGAAGUGGACCUGCACCCGGAGUGGGCCAGCCUGGCCAAAAAACAACUGAAAGGGAAGAACCCAGAAGACCUGAUCUGGCGCACGCCGGAGGGCCUCAACAUAAAACCCGUCUACACUAAAGCAGACUCUGCAACGAAGCCAGACGAACUGCCGGGGGUCUUCCCUUAUACUAGGGGGCCCUACCCCACCAUGUACACGUUCAGGCCCUGGACCAUCAGGCAGUAUGCUGGCUUCAGCACCGUGGAGGAGAGCAACAAGUUCUACCGGGACAACAUUAAAGCGGGUCAACAGGGUCUCUCGGUGGCCUUCGACCUCCCGACUCACCGCGGGUAUGACUCCGACAACCCCCGUGUCCAUGGCGAUGUCGGAAUGGCGGGGGUCGCCAUAGAUACCGUGGAGGACACCAAGAUGCUGUUCGACGGCAUCCCGCUGGAGAAGAUGUCGGUUUCUAUGACGAUGAAUGGAGCGGUGAUCCCGGUGCUGGCCAUGUUCAUCGUGACGGGGGAGGAGCAGGGGGUGCCCAAGGAGAAGCUGACGGGAACUAUCCAGAAUGACAUCCUGAAGGAGUUCAUGGUGCGCAACACCUAUAUCUUCCCCCCGGAACCUUCCAUGCACGCCAUCGCUGAUAUCUUCGCCUACACGUCCAAGCACAUGCCCAAGUUCAACUCCAUCUCCAUCAGUGGUUACCAUCUCCAGGAGGCCGGGGCGGACGCCAUCUUGGAGGUGGCCUACACCAUCGCCAACGGCCUGGAGUACUGCCGCACUGGGCUGAAAGCUGGCCUCACUAUAGAUGAGUUCGCCCCCAGGCUAUCAUUCUUCUGGGGUAUCGGUAUGAACUUCUACAUGGAGAUUGCCAAGCUGAGGGCAGGCAGGAGGCUGUGGGCCAUGCUCAUUAAGGAGAAGUUCCAACCCAAGCUGGCCAAGUCUCUGCUCCUCAGGACCCACUGUCAGACCUCAGGCUGGUCCCUCACCGAACAGGACCCGUAUAACAACGUGGUGCGUACUGUGAUCGAGGCGAUGGCUGCGGUGUUCGGGGGGACCCAGUCUCUACACACCAACUCUUUUGACGAGGCUUUGGGUCUACCAACGGUGAAGAGUGCCCGCAUCGCACGCAACACACAGAUAAUCAUCCAAGAGGAGUCUGGGAUACCCAAGGUAGCCGACCCCUGGGGCGGGUCACACAUGAUGGAGGCGCUGACCGACGAUGUCUACAACACUGCCCUAAAGUUUAUCAAUGAGAUCGAAGAGAUGGGAGGCAUGGCCAGAGCUGUGGCUGAAGGCAUUCCUAAACUACGCAUCGAGGAGUGUGCUGCUCGCAGACAGGCUCGCAUCGACUCAGGUUCGGAGGUGAUUGUUGGAGUGAAUAAGUACCGUCUAGAGAAAGAGGAGUCCGUUGAUGUGCUGGCUAUCGACAACACCAACGUACGCAACAAGCAGAUCGACAAACUCAAGAAGGUGAGGGAGAGUCGUGAUGCUGAGGUGGCGAAGAGGUGUCUGUCGGCCAUAGAGGAGUGUGCUCGUACCAGGGAGGGGAACCUGCUGGGGCUGGCUGUGGAGGCUGCUAGAGCCAGAUGUUCUGUUGGGGAGAUCACGGAUGCCAUGAAGGUUGUGUUUGGGGAACAUAAAGCCAGCACCAGGAUGGUGAGCGGAGCCUACCGCAGCGAGUUCGGUGAGCAUGAGGAGAUCUCCACAGCACACAACCGGGUGGUGGAAUUUAAGAAGCAUGAGGGCAGGAACCCUCGUCUGCUGGUGGCCAAGAUGGGCCAGGACGGCCAUGACAGGGGGGCAAAGGUCAUCGCUACGGGAUUCGCUGACCUGGGAUUCGACGUUGACAUUGGACCGCUCUUCCAGACCCCCCUGGAGGUGGCCCAGCAGGCGGUAGAUGCAGACGUCCACUGUGUUGGGGUCAGCACGCUGGCCGCAGGACACAAGACCCUGGUCCCAGAGCUUAUCAAGGAGCUUCGCAACCUCAACCGCCCUGACAUCCUGGUCAUCUGUGGAGGGGUCAUCCCACCUCAGGUAACCUGUGACCCCUAACCCAACCUCAACCGCCCUGACAUCCUGGUCAUCUGUGGAGGGGUCAUCCCACCUCAGGACUAUGAGUUCCUGUACCAGAUUGGUGUGUGCUGUAUCUUCGGCCCCGGGACGAGAAUCCCUCAGGCUGCAGUAGAGGUGAUAGACAACAUUGAGAAGAGCCUGGACAAGAUCCGCCAGGCCAUGUAGACCGAUUGCUGAUGAACAAUAUAACUCAAGUGUGUGUGUGUGUGUGUGUGUGUGUGUGUGUGUGUGUGUGUGUGUGUGUGUGUGUGUGUGUGUGUGUGUGUGUGUGUGUGUGUGUGUGUGUGUGUGUGUGUGUACACACAGCGAUGGGAAGAAGUUGCAAACAUCGGCGUGUGAUAUCUGCACAGGAUGAUAGAAUAGCGCAAUGAGAUUGUGACAUGAAUAUAUUCAUAAUGACUGUGUGAAUUUUGCCCUAAACCACAACCAAUAAUAUACAGUUUAGUCUACAGAUCUCUUAGUCUGUCUUCAUCAGCGUUUCUCAAUCCAUUUCUGGAGGACACCCCUGUUCAUCUAAUCAAGGACUUGGUGAUUGGUUGUGUACAGUAAGUGCUGGGUUUGAAAACGUGUUCUUUCUGAGCACUCUCCUAAGGAUAGAUUGUAAAACACUGAUAUGGGGCGGCUGGUAGCCUUGUGGUUAGAGCGUUGGACUUGUAACCGAAAGGUUGCAAGAUCGAAUAUCCGAGCUGACAAGGUAAAAAUCUGUCAUUCUGCCCCUGAACAAGGCAGUUAACCCACUGUUCCUAGGCCUUCAUUGAAAAUAAGAAUUUGUUCUUAACUGACUUUCCGAGUUAAAUAAAGGUAAAUAAAUAAAAUAAAUAUACACAGAUGUUUGUGAAAACUGAUAAUAUAAUCGUGUGAAAUCUGCACAGGAUAUUAUGGUAGAACAAGGAGAUUGUGGAACUAUUCGUAAUUACUUUUAUCUAAAUUCCAUGUUAUCUAAAGUCACUGAACUUAUGUUGUCAAUAAGAAUAAUGUGAUUUGUUUGCUGUAACAGCUUAAGGUUUUCCAUGGUUCAGAUGAGAUAUUGAAUCUGAUCAAUAAUAUCAUUAACUUUAACAAAGCCUAUCUUGAUUACUUAUCGAUUUGGGUUUUUACUGCUGGCUAACUUCAAAAUGACUUUGCGCGUAGUAUCGCGAAGAUACACUACCGUAUGACCUUUUUAUUUAUCCAGGUAGGUUACAGAGAAAUUGAGAACACAUUCUCUUUAACAAUAACAACCUGGCAAUAGGAUAGUCAUUUGGCAUAUUAGGUCAUUUCUCUCACAAUCAUUUUUACUUUCUAUCUUCCUUGUUCUGUGUGAAAAUGAGAAACAUGCCAGACCCUUUAACCCCAGAACUCACCCUCAGACAAAUGGUAAUGACUAAAUUUAGUACAUUGACACUGGGAACAAAUUCUGACUUGGAAGUCCUAAGAGCAGCUUUGACCCCCUAAAUCACUUAUUAUGUAACAAUGGGUUGGAGAUUUGCCUGAUUCUCACUUCUCAAGUUAGAGAUUCUAACUGAUAGAGAGAUUACCUCAAGCAGGACAGAUCAGACAUGUUAGGCAAUACAAAGUGGGCCGUUGCUGGCUAUGUUACUGUAUGUAUUUGGUCAGAUAUCCUUUUGCCUUUAUGUUCAAGCUUUUGUAUUGUCUUUAUAUCUUAUUUUUUUAAUUGUCUGCUGGAGCUUUGAACCGGUUUAUUGGAAUAAGAGUUGAGUGCUAUGGAGACUGAUUACAUAUCCGCUGAUUGCCA